rnacentral:rRNA from 1 species
AUUGAACGCUGGCGGCAUGCUUUACACAUGCAAGUCGAACGGUAACAGGCCGCAAGGUGCUGACGAGUGGCGAACGGGUGAGUAAUGCAUCGGAACGCGCCCAGUCGUGGGGGAUAACGCAGCGAAAGCUGUGCUAAUACCGCAUACGAUCUAUGGAUGAAAGCGGGGGACCGUAAGGCCUCGCGCGAUUGGAGCGGCCGAUGUCAGAUUAGGUAGUUGGUGGGGUAAAGGCCCACCAAGCCAACGAUCUGUAGCUGGUCUGAGAGGGCGACCAGCCACACUGGGACUGAGACACGGCCCAGACUCCGACGGGAGGCAGCAGUGGGGAAUUAUGGAAAAUGGGCGCAAGCCGGAUCCAGCAAUGCCGCGUGCAGGAAGAAGGCCUUCGGGUUGUAAACUGCUAUUAUACGGAACGAAACGGUCUGGGUUAAUAGGCUGAGCUCAUGACGGUACCGUAAGAAUAAGCACCGGCUAACUACGUGCCAGCCGCCGCCGUAA